rnacentral:rRNA from 1 species
UACGAAGGGGGCUAGCGUUGCUCGGAAUCACUGGGCGUAAAGGGUGUGUAGGCGGGUCUUUAAGUCAGGGGUGAAAUCCUGGAGCUCAACUCCAGAACUGCCUUUGAUACUGAAGAUCUUGAGUUCGGGAGAGGUGAGUGGAACUGCGAGUGUAGAGGUGAAAUUCGUAGAUAUCGGGAGGAACACCAGUGGCGAAGGCGGCGACCUGGACGGACACUGACGCUGAGACGCGAAAGCGUGGGGAGCAAACAGG